rnacentral:rRNA from 1 species
UACGUAGGGUGCGAGCGUUGUCCGGAAUUAUUGGGCGUAAAGGGCUCGUAGGCGGUUUGUCGCGUCGGGAGUGAAAACCUCGGGCUUAACUCGGGGCUUGCUUUCGAUACGGGCAGACUGGAGGUAUGCAGGGGAGAACGGAAUUCCUGGUGUAGCGGUGAAAUGCGCAGAUAUCAGGAGGAACACCGGUGGCGAAGGCAGUUCUCUGGGCCGUAACUGACGCUGAGGAGCGAAAGCGUGGGGAGCGAACAGG